GGUGUCUGUGAAGGUCAAGUGUCUGCUCCGUGUGGCCGGUGUUCUGUGCCUGUGUGUUCUGUGCUUGUGUCGGGUCAUUGGGCCAGUAUGAGGGUGGCUGUGUGGGCAGGACAGCCACAGACCUAAGCAAUCUGAGGCUUAGGUUAUCCCCUCAAUACGAUGGUGUUGAGAUAGUGCACGGCCCAGCCUGAGUGUGUGUCUAAGAUGGUCAGGUGGUGAGGCGCCGCCCUCCAGGGCUGCCACCCCCCCUUGCCACACCCCGCCCCCCCGUGCAUGGCCGGGGAGUCCCUGUAACUGCCACACCAGGCUCUGCCACCAUGAGUGAGGGCGGCAGCAAGUGGUCCUGCGGGAGAUGCACGUACCUCAACUUUGCCAAUGCCAUCCGCUGCACCAUGUGCACGGUGCCCCGCCCCCCUCACCUUAUAGUGGAGGCUGGGGCAGACAUCUACCAGCUGGCCCCCCCCUCGCCCGCACCCCGGCCGCCGGAGGGGCCACCGCCGCCUCAGGAUGGAGACAAGUGGGUGUGUCACAUGUGCACUUACCGCAACUACCCGCGGGCCCUGCGCUGCACCCAGUGCCGCACGCCCCGGCUGUCCCUGGCUGACCAGAUGGCUGACCUGACCCUGGCCAAGCCGGCCACCCCCUCGCCGGCCACCACCGCGCCCCCUACGGUGCCCGUCAUCAUCACCGCCGUGGCCACCACUGCACCCACUGCCUUAGCCCCGCCCACCCCCUCCAUCACCACCAUCACCGCCACCACCACCACCACCACCGCAGCUGCCGCCUCCACCACUGCCAACAACCGCACGUCUGCCUCCAGUCAGGGCAGAACCCCGGCAGCUCAGGGUGGGGGUGGGGCACCCCAGGGGGCAGGGGCAGAGCACCAGAGUCCCGGGGGAGGGACACCUCCGGGGGGUGCUGGGCGGUGUAGCCCCCAGGGGGCCGGACUUUCUCACCCCCAGCCCCGGCCCGGCCCGGAGCUCAAUGUGCCCAGCUACAAGUGGCGGUGCCGCGCCUGCACCUACGAGAACUGGCCCCGGUCCGGGCGCUGCGUGAUGUGCUCCACCCUCAAGGGCCACGGCUCAACACCCGACCAGCCCCAACCCGCCCGUCUGGCCACCCCGCCCCCACCCAGCGAGGGGACACGGACCCUUGUUGGUGGGGGCGUGACCCCCGGGGUGUCUGAGCCCACCGCUGGGGAGGUGCACAUCAUCUGUGAGUCCGGCGAGGACCAGCAGGCUGACAACAACGCCAAGAACAGGGACAACAUCAAUGAGAUCAACAAGGCACGCAGCAGCGAGGGCAGCGGGGCGCCCCCGGAGGCCUCCAUCAUCGCCCCCAGGAACUCCAGUGACUCCAAGGAGACCGUACCCCAGGGGCCCGGGGCCAACACUGCCGGGGCGGGCGGGGGCAGCCUGCGGCCCGGCGGGGAGGGGGCCAUGGCUCUCAACAACUACGAGACAGAGCGGCUGCUGAGGCAGCUGCGGCGGCGGCUGAGGGAGGCUGACUGGGCCUGGCUCAACGCUUGCAAUGGUGUAGUGGAAGGAAACUAUGAACCUGUGGAGGCCUACCUCUCAGCCGGUGGUGACCCCAUGCGGCAGCUAACCAGUGCUGACGUGAAGCUGUUGUCCCGCUCCUCAGCUUUCGACGAGGGGCACACGCUCGUCCACCUGGCCAUAAGGUUCGGCCGGGAGGAUCUCCUAGCCACCAUACUGUCGAGAAUGGACGGGGGCGGCACUGGGGUCAAGCGAGUGCCGUCCUACGUGGCCCCAGACCUAGCCAAUGACAUCCGCCGGCACCUCUCGGCCUCCAUCAGGCAACGCAAGGGCCCCAUCCCAUGCUAUUUUGUCUCGGAGUUCGUCACAUUCUCCCUCCCUGCCGAAAUCGAGGACCUGCCAGUCAGUGUGCAGGAGCAGCUGUUUGAGGAGCUGCUGGACCGGGACGCACAGAAGCAGCUGGAGGAGGACGCACCCAUCAUCAACUGGUCCCUGGAAAUCACCGACCGCCUUGGGGCCCGCCUCUACGCCCUCUGGAACCGCACUGCAGGUGACUGCCUCCUCGACUCCAUCCUGCAGUCCACCUGGGGCGUGUUUGACCGGGAAAAUGUUCUCCGGAGAGCGUUGUCAGACAGUCUUUCAGAAGCAUCUCAUUUGUUUUACCCACGCUGGAAGGAGUAUGAGCGCUGGCAGGCACGGCUCCUUGACUAUUAUGUUCCCGAGGGUCAGGUUCUGGAGGAGUGGGCCGAGCUAAUCUGCCUCGCCUCCCAGCCCGGUGCGGCCCUAGAGCAGCUGCAUAUCUUCGUCCUGGCGCACAUCCUCCGUCGGCCCAUCGUUGUGUAUGGUGUGAAGUGCGUCAAGAGCUUCCGGGGAGAGGACUUGGGCUAUGCGAGAUUUGAAGGUGUGUACCUACCUCUUCUCUGGGAGCCCACCUUCUGCUGCAAGUCCCCCAUCGCUCUUGGCUACACUCGCGGCCACUUCUCCGCCCUUGUACCCAUGGAGCCAGACACUCCCGACAACUUGGGUGCUGGCGCUAUUCUGGAUGCAGGGGAGUCUCAAGUAGUGUUCCUGCCCCUCAUGACACACGACGCCAAGCUCCUGCCCGUGCAUUUCAUCACCCAGGCUGAGGUUGGGUGUGAGGAGUCGUUGCUGAGGCAGUGGCUGGAGGUGUGCGUCAGCGAGGGGGGCGUGCUGGUGGCUCAGCAGCGGCUCACCAAGAAGCCGCUGGCCGUCGCCCAGAUGACUGAGGAGUGGCUCAACCACUACCGGAGGCUUGCGUAAGUCUGGCCACCCUCUGCUGUGGGGGCUGUGCUGCUGCUGCUGCUGCUGCUACUACUGAGUCCUACAAAUGGAGUGUGCGCCCUACCACCGGCCACUCCCCACUCAGGGCUACUCCAGCGAUGGGGACUCGGAGGAGGAGUGAUGCCGGGCCGGGGACGGUCACAACACAACGUAGGAGAUGACACCCUUCAUGGCACACUUGACACUUUCCCUCCCUCCAUUGCUGCUGACCAGAUCAUUGUGAGGACAUCUUCCAGUGAGGGUGGAUGGAUGCUGCCUGUCUGUCUGUCUGUCUGCUACUCCCACUGUUGCUGCUGCUGCUGCCUGCUGACUGAACCACCGACUGGGGGCACACACGCAGGUGUUCCCCAGUCCGAGGUGGUUCACGUGAUCUUGAUGCUUUAACCUAAAUUCUUCCUAUAGAGUGUUAUAAAAAAGUCUAAUGCUUUAUAUUAUGUGAAUUCUCAGUAGGAUGUUACACAAAAGUUUGAUGCUUUAUCCUAAAUUCUCAGUAGGACAUAAAGAAGAGUAAUUAUUUCCCAGAGUUCUGUGUGGAGUUCUAUCCUGAACGCUUUAUGUUAGGUUUAUAAGUUGUAGCCUCUACCUGAAAAUGCGACGACUUAAAAAUUAUUCUGCCAUAGGUGGCUAAUAUUCUUCUCUCAGGUUUGCCGUGAACUGAGUCAACUUACUUCCAGGUUUGCGUGUGGGAUAUAAUUUUACGAGGAUAUUUCGGCAGUGAUCGGUUACUCAAAAUUAUGAUGUUUCUGGAAUUAAGUUGCAGUAGAGGGCCAGAAGAUACACCCUCUCUCCUCCAGCCUCAAGGGGGACAAGAUUCAAUGCAAGACAGACAAUCAGACAAUCCUAGGGUGUAAGGAAACAGUCUUGCAUUUUGAGUAUCACUGAAGGCUGCACUCACACGAUAGAGGAGUCACAGAUAUAUAACAGGCGACUCAUUGUGUUCCAAGUGAAGAGAGUAUUUAUUCUAUCCACGGGAGUGCCAAAACCCACUUGCUGUUAACAUACUUUACUACUGAAAAAUUUAGCAUGGAGGCAUUCAUGCAUGAGUUAUACAAAUGUUGUACUAAAUAACUUCUUAACAAACCAGCAGAAGUAAGAUUGUGCCCUAGCUGGUGAGAGGAGGGUGUGUGUGUGCGUGUGUGUAUGUGUGUGCGUGUGGUAGUCUAGUGCAGGGCAGCCUUUUGGGGGGCAGGUGGUGGGGAGAGUCGCCCGGUCUCUCCCUGUCCUCCCUCCCUCUCUCUUUCACUCUUGGAUUAAUUGGCUGUUAAGUUGUUGUAUCAUAAAAGUAUAUUGUUUGCUAACGUGGAUGCCGCCGUUUAAUUGGUAAAUGAAUUAUUGGGUGUAGAGUGAGCAGUGGGGGAGAUCAGGCCGGGGAGGCAACCCACGGCCAGCCAGUCACCGGGGAGCGGCCCUCCCUGGCCUCUGCCACGUCUUCAGUUGUCAGCAUUAAAAGUGGCAUAAUACACCCUCGUUCCCACCCAGCAACGGCAGCUUCACUGAUGUGCUGGUCCACAAGCCAGGCUUGGGGCGGCACAGUCAGGUCUCCCGUCUUGGGUGUCACACUCCUCGUCACACUGUGACUGCUAAAUUUAAUGGUCAGGGAAUCUCAGUAUUCUGUAAAAGAGUGACACUUCUAAUUCUCAACACAGUGGUGGCGUUGGUGCCACGCAGCAUCCACACGCCAGGCAGGAAUGUGCUGUUGCUGUGCUCCCGACGGCCGAGUGCCGAUGAAGUUGACACCCUUGAGGAGACUUUACUGCACACAGAAACUGUGAGCUGCAUUUUUCCAUUCAUGGUGCCACCAGGCAAUGUGCACAGGCAUUUGUUACAUGCAUGGACACACAGCUACAAAAGGAUUUGACUCAGUACGUGGAUUACAUGAGCUGCAGGAAGGUUGGUCAAUAUUCCUGGUAAUCUUCAAUCCCUCGUGCUGACUGUGACGCGUCAGCCGGACGUUGGAAUGAUGACCUUUUCCGUAACAGUGGAGUGUAAUCCUUUGUGUAAUGAUUUGGUUGUGAGUUAUAUUUAUCAGUAUUUCCUGGACUCUGUCUUGCAUUGCUUGGUAUGUUGAUACAGAAUACUGCAUUUAACUUUCUUCUUUUGAGCACAAAGUAAAAUUUUCCUUCCAAUGCAACAGUUCUCCAGAGGAGGUGUUUUAGCCCCUGGUGCAGUAAGUCCUGAGUUGGUCUGUUCUCACAGCCUCGUGUCUUCUUCAAGUUGUGGCCACGUGCAGUCUCUCAGGAACAAGUUUUCUAAUCAGAAAUAAAUUGUUCCUGAGGAGGUCUUGGCAGCUAACUUGAAGAGACACGCAGGCCAGACAACAAAUAUGACGAGUUACUGUAUAGCCAGGCAGUUGCCAAAGAAAAUUUAGUCUUUGCAUUUUGGCUACCUAACCUGACUUAAGUUGCUCCCUCCGUCCAUGUCACCACUCCACCGUGUUGUGUUAGUUUCUCCCGCCACUAUCAUGUCAGUUAUCUCAUAGCUUUACGGCCAGCCUGUUGGUUCUGUCGUGUAAAUAUGUACAGCUCAGAACACCAGUUUCUGAUAAUUUUGAUGGAUAUUUUCAGUAUUCCCCUCCAAACAAAACAAAACAUAACAAAAAAAUUAGAAUGGAAUUCUUAAAAUACUGUAUCACAGUUUCCCAGACAGUUAUUAUUUCUUUGAGAUUUAUCCAUAGGUAAUAUAUUUCUAUACAGUUUUCUUUAUCUGGAUCACCAGCACUCAGCUACAUGGUGCACCAAACCUUGUAUCUGAAUAUGGAAAACAUGUUAAGGUGUAGUUAUAAAAGUCAAACACUGCUUUUUGCCUUCCGAAAGAACAGAUUUCCCAAAGUAAUUGGCAAGACCAAUCUUAGUUUAGUUCCAGGUGAUUGGAAAAGUAAGUUUCAUGACGUCACUCUGUUUCUGUUGUGGGUUGAGAGCAGUGUUUGGAGGAGCAGGAGUCCCGGCGCUCAGGUUGUGUCUGUUAGGCAGCGCCACGCCUCACCAUCGCUCUCAGCUUCUCCAUGGUUACAGUACAAACCAAGAACACAGUGGGAGGAAAUCUGAGGAACAAGAGCCUCGCAGGGCUUCCUGACGCUCGGCGUUACGAUACAAACACAGACAACGAGCGUCCUGAAGGGCCCCGGCCGGUUCCUUGAUUUCGCCCCGCAUAUUUAGCUGUCAGAACUGUAAAGUGGAAUUUUUGUAGUUUUGUCAGAGUCCUGUAGAAUUAUGGUCAUUCAUGCAUGAUGUGAUGUGCAGCGGCCGUGCUGGUUUUUUAAGGAGUAGUUUUAACCCCUGAUAAUGCAUAAUGGCUAGAUGUUUGUAAACUUUCCUGCUUUGAACUUUCUCGAGAGAAAAGCUCAAAUACCGGAGUUUAAAUUUUCCAGCCACGUUUUUCAUGGCAAGACUCGCCGCCAAAAGAAUAGUGUGUCCCUUUGUCACCAAGUCUGCCUGGCUAUAUUAGAAAUUAACUACAUGUUCAACAUAUAUGUUAUAUCACAGUUCUAGAAAGCUAACCCCACAAUGUAGUGUAUCUCCAUUGGAUUGUUUAUCAGAAAUUGUUAUGUAUAUAUAUAAUGAAAAUAUACAGAAUGCUUAAAAGGA